GACCUAGCAGAGGAGUAUAUGGUAGAAAUGUCAAACCACAUAAGAGUUGGCAUCUUCAAUGGACAGCAAAUGAUGGGAUGAUAUCUUGACACUAAGCAGUGGGCAGAACAGCAUGUUAAAAGAAAACUGAAAGAAAUGUCUAUAGAAUGGUCAGUGGAAGAAGGAAGCAAGCUUAUUUUCACUGUAAUUUUGCGAUCGUUGUUUUGCGGUGUUUGCAGAUUGCAAAUUAGGAAUCU
rnacentral:misc_RNA from 1 species